GGCACUAUAGCUUAGUGGUUAGAGCAUCAAAGGCCCUAUCAGAAGGUCGCUGGUUCGACUCCAGCUAGUGUCA
rfam:Fomitopsis pinicola FP-58527 SS1 unplaced genomic scaffold FOMPIscaffold_210, whole genome shotgun sequence.